UUGUUGCCCAGUCGGUCCGACUCGCUCUACAGCAACGCUGUGAAAGAAAGUCUGGAAAGAAAUGCUGUUUUGAACGAAAAAUGUCAGACGAAGGGUUGAGGAAAUUUUGUGCAGCUCUGCCAAAAAUAGAGCUUCAUGCACACCUCAACACCAGUUUCAGCAAAGUGACGCUACAAGCUCUAGUGGACAGGAAGGUCAAACAUGACCCGACCUUCACCUCCAACAAGAUGACCUUUGAUGGGAAUGAGACAGCUGGAAUAGAAGAAUCAUUCAACAUUUUUAAACAAAUCCACAUGAUAUGCAAUGACGCUCACGCCAUCUACACUCUGACCCAUGACAUCAUACAUGAGUUUGCUGAGGACAACGUGAAGUACCUGGAGCUCCGCUCAACCCCAAAGACAAUCCCAGAGACUGGACUGACCCCCGAGGUGUAUCUGGACUGUAUGUUGAGGGCUGUGCGUGAGUGUGAAGAGGGAGGGGUGGACACCAUUGUGAGGAUACUCCCCUCCAUUGACCGCAGGAAUGGGGUGGACGUGGCGUACAAGACUGUGGACCUGGCCCACAAAUAUGCCCAGUCAUCCAAUGGUGUUGUGUGCGGGAUCGACUUUAGUGGAGACCCAUUGGUUGGAGAUGCUGCAGACUAUAUCCCUGUCUUCCAGUAUGCUCACAGCAAGGGGCUGAAGCUGGCUUUACAUCUAGCUGAGAUUGCCAGCUUCAAGGAGACCUAUGAAGUUAUCAAGGGCACUACUGUUGGAAGGAUAGGUCAUGGGACGUUUCUGCAUCAGUGUCCCGAAGACUACAAGGACCUAACACAAUGUGUUCUACAACAACGCAUCCCCAUUGAAACAUGUAUGACCUCCAACUUGAAGGCUCAGACAGUGUCGGACUACAGCUCACACCACCUGGAGUACUGGUACAACAAGCAACACCCAGUCAUUAUCUGUACUGACGGGAAGGGUGUGUACCAGACCACAGUCACGGAGGAAUACCUACAUGCAGCACAAGCAUUUGGACUGACACGCCUCCAGUUGUGGCAGCUCUCACUUCAGUCAAUAGACCAUAUAUUUGCAGAUGAAGCAACUAAACAGACUCUCAGACAAAAGUGGAGCUCUAUCAAACCAUCCUUGGACUUCCAGGACGAGUGAGGGAAAAGCAGCUUAUGUCUUCACAUGCCUUUCUAUGAAUUCAUUUCACUGAGAAAUGCCAGCUAUAAUGAUAUUAAACUAGUCAGUCCUGGACAUGCUGGAGCACAAUCACUAAUGAACAUAAAAGGAGCCAUACACUGAAGGCCAUUGAAGGUACCAAGUAUUCAUGGCUGUUGGAGCCAUACAUUGGAGGCUGUUCAAGGUGUCAAUCACUGAAGGCCGCGGUCAACUGUAAAAUCAAGCUUUAAAUAUAGUGGUUACUCAUUUCAGUCAUACAGCACUGAUAUUGGUGAGGGGCGGUGGGGUAGCCUAAUGGUUAAAGCUUUGGCUCGUCACGCCGAAGACCCAGAUUUGAAUCCCCACAUGGGCACAAUGUGUGAAGCCCAUUUCUGGUAUCCCCGCCGUGAUGUUGCUGGAAUAUUGCUAAAAACGGCGUAAAACCAAACUCAGUCAGUCAGUGAUAUUGGUGAACUGAGAUUAACAUGACCACCAUAAACAUGUUACUCAGAGGUGCUAUUUGGAAAUAAACAUGAGGCAAUCAUUCCUUUACCUAUAAUACA